UGGGGAAUCUUGCACAAUGGGGGAAACCCUGAUGCAGCGACGCCGCGUGAGCGAUGAAGCCCUUCGGGGUGUAAAGCUCUUUCGGCAGGGACGAUAAUGACGGUACCUGCAGAAGCAGCUGCGGCUAACUACGUGCCAGCAGCCGCGGUAAUACGUAGGCAGCAAGCGUUGUUCGGAGUUACGGGGCGUAAAGGGUGUGUAGGCGGUCCUCUAAGUUUGGUGUGAAAUCGCCCGGCUCAACUGGGAGGGUGCGCCAAAAACUGGGGGGCGUCGAGUGCGGGAUGGGAGAGUGGAAUUCCUGGUGUAGCGGUGAAAUGCGUAGAUAUCAGGAGGAACACCUGCGGUGUAGACGGCUCUCUGGACCGUAACUGACGCUGAGACACGAAAGCGUGGGUAGCAAACA
rnacentral:rRNA from 1 species